GCAGUAGCCGCGGGAAUACGUAGGGCGCAAGCGUUAUCCGGAAUUAUUGGGCGUAAAGAGCUCGUAGGCGGUUUGUCGCGUCUGCCGUGAAAGUCCGGGGCUCAACCCCGGAUCUGCGGUGGGUACGGGCAGACUAGAGUGAUGUAGGGGAGACUGGAAUUCCUGGUGUAGCGGUGAAAUGCGCAGAUAUCAGGAGGAACACCGAUGGCGAAGGCAGGUCUCUGGGCAUUAACUGACGCUGAGGAGCGAAAGCAUGGGGAGCGAACAGGAUUAGAUACCCGAGUAGUCCCUGUCUCUUAUAC
rnacentral:rRNA from 1 species